AACACGUCCAAUAGUGUUAAUUUAUACGAUCCUUAUUUUUUCAUGCAUUUCAUUACAUCAGUCCAUCAAUGAUUUUUAAUAAAUGUAUGUAUUGGUUAUUUUCGAAACGUAGAAUUAAAGAAAAAAAUACUACCCACGCCCAUUCAUUCAGCCGUGCUUAAUACUAUACACACACGCAGACUGCAGGCCUUUUAAAUUUAAUGGAAACGCCACCAUGUCUUUUAAAAUCGUGGUCUCGCAUUAAUGUCCGUCUUUAGUAAUUGAAAUUAAUAGACGUAUAAACAUGUUUUAGUUUACUGUGAUAUAUUAUUUUCAACGAGAUAUAACUACUUUAAUAUUCGAUUAUUACGCGGAAAUAUAUUGACUGUUAAAAUGACGUUCGGUAGUGGUGUGUUCUUACGGCGGUAAACUCACUGUUCGGUUUAUAAUAUUACAC